UACGGGGGGGGCAAGCGUUGUUCGGAGUUACUGGGCGUAAAGGGCGUGUAGGCGGCCUUCUAAGUCAGACGUGAAAUCCCUCGGCUCAACCGGGGAACUGCGUCUGAUACUGGAGGGCUUGAAUCCGGGAGAGGGAUGCGGAAUUCCAGGUGUAGCGGUGAAAUGCGUAGAUAUCUGGAGGAACACCGGUGGCGAAGGCGGCAUCCUGGACCGAUACUGACGCUGAGGCGCGAAAGCUAGGGGAGCAAACGGG
rnacentral:rRNA from 1 species